rnacentral:rRNA from 1 species
CCUACGGGAGGCAGCAGUGGGGAAUAUUGCACAAUGGGGGAAACCCUGAUGCAGCGACGCCGCGUGAAGGAAGAAGUAUUUCGGUAUGUAAACUUCUAUCAGCAGUGAAUUGACGGUACCUGCAAAGGAAGCACCGGCUAACUCCGUGCCAGCAGGCGCGGUAAUACGGAGGGUGCGAGCGUUAAUCGGAAUUACUGGGCGUAAAGCGCUCGUAGGCGGUAUGUUAAGUCAAGGGUGAAAUCCCCGCGGUAAACGUGGGAACUGCCUUUGAUACUGGCAAACUGGAGUGUGUGAGAGGAUAGUGGAAUUCCAGGUGUAGGGGUGAAAUGCGUAGAUAUCUGGAGGAACAUCAGUGGCGAAGGCGGCUAUCUGGCACAUAACUGACGCUGAGGAGCGAAAGCGUGGGUAGCAAACAGGAUUAGAUACCCGAGUAGUC